AACGAACGCUGGCGGCAUGCCUAACACAUGCAAGUCGAACGAGACCUUCGGGUCUAGUGGCGCACGGGUUCGUAACGCGUGGGAACCUGCCCUUAGGUUCGGAAUAACUCCCCGAAAGGGGUGCUAAUACCGGAUAAUGUCUUCGGACCAAAGAUUUAUCGCCUUUGGAUGGGCCCGCGUUGGAUUAGCUAGUUGGUAGGGUAAAAGCCUACCAAGGCGACGAUCCAUAGCUGGUCUGAGAGGAUGAUCAGCCACACUGGGACUGAGACACGGCCCAGACUCCUACGGGAGGCAGCAGUGGGGAAUAUUGGAAAAUGGGCGAAAGCCUGAUCCAGCAAUGCCGCGUGAGUGAUGAAGGCCUUAGGGUUGUAAAGCUCUUUUAACCGGGAUGAUAAUGACAGUACCGGGAGAAUAAGCUCCGGCUAACUCCGUG
rnacentral:rRNA from 1 species